UCUUCAUCCAUAUCUCUACAUUAAAACCGAUCUCCGACGACUGAGUUCCACGGACAUUCUCUGGCACCAGUGAUCUCUCAGGUAAACCUUUGUUUUUAUAAAACUGAAUCUGAUUUUGGUUUCUGUUCAUCAUAAUUUAUUUUAAUUUUUCGAUCAUUCUCCCAAAAAGCGAAGUUGAAUCCGAAAGCGAAAGAGGUCUGAAAUCGCAAAAUUAGAGAUCAACAACAUUGUGUAAAUCUCUGUUUCCUUUUGGAUCCAUGAACAGAAGCCAGAUUCAGUUCUAUAAAAAAGAAGAAAAAAGAUUACCUGAGAGAUUACUCGGUGCCGGAGAAUACUUGGAUAGACCGAUUCAGUUUUUGGAGAUCAACCAUCGAAAAUGCGCCACAAAUACAUGACCUUAAAGUUAGGCUUCUACAUUAUUGUUAUGAUUAUUAAUUGAUUUUACCUAUUUUAUAGUAAGGGCAGGACGUGCAUAAAAUCUACGAAAACUCUCCGACGCCGAGUAAUCUUUCAGGUAAUGGAACUGGGGACACUCGCUAAUGGCUAUGACAUUUCAUCACGGGCCUCGAAGGAUGCAUUGAUCAGAACAACAACAAAACCAAAGUGUGUAGGUCCUCUGUUCCCCUUUUCGGAUUCAGGACAAUUAUGAUGAACAGAAACCAGAUUCAGUUUCACCCAAAAAAAAAUUCAAAAAGAAAGAUGAACUGUUCCAA